rnacentral:rRNA from 1 species
AUGGUAGGCAGUUUGACUGGGGCGGUCUCCUCCCAAAGCGUAACGGAGGAGUUCGAAGGUACGCUAGUUACGGUCGGACAUCGUGACGAUAGUGCAAUGGCAUAAGCGUGCUUAACUGCGAGACUGACAAGUCGAGCAGAUGCGAAAGCAGGACAUAGUGAUCCGGUGGUUCUGUAUGGAAGGGCCAUCGCUCAACGGAUAAAAGGUACUCUGGGGAUAACAGGCUGAUA